rnacentral:tRNA from 1 species
GGAAGAUUAACCCUAAUCAGGUAAGGGAUCUCUUUGCUAAAGAGACAGUAGCCCCGGAAAGGGGUGUGUCAGUUCAAAUCUGACAUCUUCCU